rnacentral:lncRNA from 1 species
UUGCAAAUUUCCCUGUUUGGAUCACCCAGGUUAGUCAAGACGACAAUUCUGAAAUUCUAUAUAGUAUCUAAUUGAAAUGACAAAAUGAUCUUGUUUCUUGGAAGAUGAUUCAAGCUAGCUAAGUGAACAGAUUUGCUAAUACAAUUGGGGAAAAUGCUUCUUUUUUUGCUUUAAUAAAAGUAUUCCUUCCCCAUCCCUAUUCCAUGUGCUCCAAUCAUAGUUCAAACAAAAAAUUAUAGUUUAAAAUAUGUGUUUAAAAUAUGUCUGCAGUUAGUUUCCAUUAGUGUGAUACAUUAUUGUUGGCUUGUACUGUGUAUUGUGUAGCCCUAAGCAUCUGAAUAAUUUAGCACUAUCCUAGGUUAAGCCUGUAAAUUUAGGCCCUGUUUUCUGGUAGCUUUUUAAAAUAGCAGAUUCGGCAAUGCAAUUUGUUACAGCAGAUGACAAUGAAUUACAUUCGUAGGGAUCCUACACAUUUCUGUUUUGAAUUUUGCUUACUGCCUUUCUCAUUAUUUCUAUAUAGAAGAAUAAUGUAUUUAUUUGCAGCCAUUUGAUGAUGAAAAGUGAAAGAGACGGAUUGCGAAGCAACGCUGUGCAGUGCUUGUUUAUCAGUCAACUAAGUACUUGUCUUGUACUUAGUUGUUUCUGCAGGCCAACUUAUUUGUCCAUGUCAAAGGUUGGGUUGAAGAGGUGCAUUUUGCUUGUAGCAUGUCAAGUGCUCUUUCAGUCAUUUUGGUAAUCUCGUCUGUUUAAUAAGUUCUCUAAAAUAAGAAUGCAUUUUCCAUGUCUUCAUGUUAUCUAAUAUAGCCUUAAAUUAAUAGCAGCAAUGCUAUUCUGCAAAUCUCCUCGGGGUUGCUGAUUACCUAUAAGUCUUAAGGUUUUAUCCGUACAUUUGAUAAGAAACCUACUGGUCUUUAAUCUUUGAGUUCCCUCUUGGUAUUUCCUUUUCGAUUUAUAUGCUGAUAAACUAUGUUUUUCGGGGUCCUCUUCCUUUUUUCCCCUUCCCCUGUUACAUCUUCUAGCAGUUAUUUACAACAGUUUAUGCUAUUUACUUGUUACUUCUUCAAUAGAAACAACAAUGAUUUGUCAGGAUAUUGAUUUCGGAGGCAUUUUACAACUAAUUGGUUGUAUCCAGGUGUGCAUUCGUGCUUUUCCAGGCAGUCGGUUGGGAUUGCGAGGAAUUUAGAGUAGAUUGAAAGCAUAUGAAAAUGGUGAGAGAUAGAGAUGGAGAAAAAGAUAGAUAUGGAAUUGAACAAGUUAGAGGUUGAGAUUUAUCACAUUUGAGGUUGAAUCGAGCGACAUUAUUGACAAAGUCAAAGCUU